GCCCUAGUAACGGCGAGUGAAGCGGCAACAGCUCAAAUUUGAAAUCUGGCUCUUUUAGAGUCCGAGUUGUAAUUUGCAGAGGGCGCUUUGGCGUUGGCAGCGGUCCAAGUUCUUUGGAACAGGACGUCACAGAGGGUGAGAAUCCCGUACGUGGUCGCUAGCCUUCGCCGUGUAAAGCCCCUUCGACGAGUCGAGUUGUUUGGGAAUGCAGCUCUAAAUGGGAGGUAAAUUUCUUCUAAAGCUAAAUACUGGCCAGAGACCGAUAGCGCACAAGUAGAGUGAUCGAAAGAUGAAAAGCACUUUGGAAAGAGAGUCAAAUAGCACGUGAAAUUGUUGAAAGGGAAGCGCUUGCAGCCAGACUUGCCUGUAGUUGCUUAUCCGGACUUUUGUCCGGUGCACUCUUCUGCGGGCAGGCCAGCAUCAGUUUAGGCGGUUGGAUAAAGGUCUCUAUCACGUACCUCCCUUCGGGGUUGGCCUUAUAGGGGAGACGACAUGCAACCAGCCUGAACUGAGGUCCGCGCAUCUGCUAGGAUGCUGGCGUAAUGGCUGUAAGCGGCCCGUCUUGAAACACGGACCAAGGAGUCUAACAUCUAUGCGAGUGUUUGGGUGUCAAGCCCAGACGCGUAAUGAAAGUGAACGGAGGUGGGAACCUUUUAGGUGCACCAUCGACCGAUCCUGAUGUCUUCGGAUGGAUUUGAGUAAGAGCAUGGCUGUUGGGACCCGAAAGAUGGUGAACUAUGCUUGAAUAGGGUGAAGCCAGAGGAAACUCUGGUGGAGGCUCGCAGCGGUUCUGACGUGCAAAUCGAUCGUCAAAUUUGGGCAUAGGGGCGAAAGACUAAUCGAACAUUUUUGCCUCAU
rnacentral:rRNA from 1 species